ACAAAUCUAUCUUAGAGAGGAAAUAAUAAUCAAUCAGUCCAUAAAGACUGGUGGGUAAGGUUUCUUUAAGGCCAGACAGAAUCUUGGGAAGGUGCCCCUUGGAAUUCUGGGUAAGCUGAUUCAGUUGGGGUUUUCCAAUUGCCAAUGGAUUCCUGGAGGUUUUCCCCUUAGGAGAAGGCUGAUGUUUCUGUUCCCCGAAACACUGAAAAACCCAGUGACAGGAGGAGGAGGAGAACAGUUGUCCUUGCGUAGGCCCAAAGCAGUUCCACGGAGCUUCAGGCGCCACAAGCUAUGAUGCGCCUGCGCGAUCUACGGCAAGCAGUAAAAGAUGCUGUAUCCAAUCCCCCCCCUUUUAGGUUUAGCGCGCCUUUCUGGAACAACUUUUCCUCAAUUUUCCAUCUCUUCAACAGUGAAGACGUAGGAUAACAACAUGUCCGUGGCAGUUGUUUCGAAUUAAUUCAGGGUAUGGCUUUGGGCAAAUGACUAGGAAUGUCUCUGCAAGCUGAAUAUUUUCCCCUAAGGAACAAGAUGAAUUUGUAACAGAAACUUGUGGCAAAUAAAGCCAACCCAUUAUAUAUCAUAAAUAAAAUAAAAACUGAUUUCUUCAUA